rnacentral:snRNA from 1 species
GUGCUCGCUUCAGCAGUGCAUAUACUAAAAUUGGUACAAGAUAGAAACAGUUCGCAUGGUCCAUGUGCAAGGAUAAAACACACACACACAAAAUUAAUUCAAUACAU